AACUACUCAGCAGCGUUCGGAGGCGAGGGCCUUUUCCAGCCCUGCAAGACAACGCGGGUUGGCUGCCCUCCCCGGCACCCAGACCCGCYGGGGGUCGCGGAAGCUGGUGGUCCCAGGAGGAGCCUGCCUGGAACACCGCUUUUAGGGCCUCGAAGCGUCAGGGUCCUGCCCCCGCUCCCGGGCACCCAGGGCAGAGCGGAGCGAGACGCUACCCACCUCAUCCAGCACGCUCUGUCCUCCCUCCCUAAAUCCUCGUGCGCUUCGGCGGCUAGUUAUCAUUUCCUCUUGUCCCUGGGCAAAACCAGAGCGUCUCCUCCUCCUCCUCCUCCUCCUCCUCCUCCUCCUCCUCCUCYUCCUCCUCCUCCUCCUCGCCUCUCCACCCCGCUGCUGAGUGCCAGGAAGUCGGACGCCCACGCGCCAGGUGCUGGGUGCUCCUCCGCGGCGCGAGGGACCCACCCGGUGCUGCAGCCCGGCCGGACCCGGCUGGGGCUGGAGCGCCGCACGGGGAAGCACCCACCUGCCCGGAGCAGGAGGGCAGACCGAAGCUGCCGGCGCUGGCUGCAAGGCGGAGAUGCUUUCGGAGAGGCUUGGCCAGCCUGUCCUACCCAGGGAUGCAGGAUUUGGGCRCCAGCCCCCCGGGUCCAUUCCCUGCCGUUAGCUUCGCUCUCUCCAGUUCUUUGCCAGGGGCUUGMAAAUCUUUUAGGGGCUAAAAUGCAUCGGAGCGAGCGAUUAUUGGGUUGCAGAUGUGCUGUGCUUGCCUCAGCCAUUCCAUCCCACAGGAAUUGGGUGCAGGCGGCUUCACUAGCUGGGGCUCGAUGCGGGUGGGCGCUGGAGCCCUCCCGGACAGGCUCUGCUCCAAAAGGAGCCGGCACGCGCGGGAGCACCCCCCGAGGUGCCGAGGGCACGCCGAGACGCCCCGGCUCCGAGCCUCUCCAGCGACGCUCCCUGCCAGGGUCGGGGAGCCAAGGCCUCCUGCUGCCCUGCCGCGCGGCUGGGAGCCGAACCCCGCGCAGGCCGGAGCUGCGCUGGCUCCCGGCAAGGAGCUGUCRGAGCCUGGUGCGUUCGACGCUGCAUAUUCACAGGCCCGAACUUGCGAGGCUUUAA
rnacentral:lncRNA from 1 species